UUGGAGAGUUCAUGAAUGUUUCAUUAUAA
rnacentral:piRNA from 1 species